rnacentral:misc_RNA from 1 species
GGAUAAACCCGAUAGUGACCUACAACAACAAUAAAACACAUGAAAAGACUUGAAAAUACACCAAUAGGAUGGUAUCAAAAGCAUCCAGACACAUUAAAUAUUGUGAUGGUCCAAACAGAAAACCUAUAAAAAUGGCAAUUCAAAUUCAUUACACAAAGUUCUAUGACAAUAAAUAUUACAUGAUACUGUUCCUUCCAAAGAUACAAGACAAACAACAGAUUUCUGUUAAUGAAAUGUCUGAUCAUUCAA